UGUGACUGCGUACCUUUUGUAUAAUGGGUCAGCGACUUAUAUUCUGUAGCAAGGUUAACCGAAUAGGGGAGCCGAAGGGAAACCGAGUCUUAACUGGGCGUUAAGUUGCAGGGUAUAGACCCGAAACCCGGUGAUCUAGCCAUGGGCAGGUUGAAGGUUGGGUAACACUAACUGGAGGACCGAACCGACUAAUGUUGAAAAAUUAGCGGAUGACUUGUGGCUGGGGGUGAAAGGCCAAUCAAACCGGGAGAUAGCUGGUUCUCCCCGAAAGCUAUUUAGGUAGCGCCUCGUGAAUUCAUCUCCGGGGGUAGAGCACUGUUUCGGCAAGGGGGUCAUCCCGACUUACCAACCCGAUGCAAACUGCGAAUACCGGAGAAUGUUAUCACGGGAGACACACGGCGGGUGCUAACGUCCGUCGUGAAGAGGGAAACAACCCAGACCGCCAGCUAAGGUCCCAAAGUCAUGGUUAAGUGGGAAACGAUGUGGGAAGGCCCAGACAGCCAGGAUGUUGGCUUAGAAGCAGCCAUCAUUUAAAGAAAGCGUAAUAGCUCACUGGUCGAGUCGGCCUGCGCGGAAGAUGUAACGGGG
rnacentral:rRNA from 1 species